UCCUGUAUGACAUAUUUUAUUAUUUAUCUUGAAAAUUUGCUUUACGAUUUCUUGCUCUUAAAGAAAACUAUGACAGCUCUCUUCUGUAAUCUCUGCCUCUUCUUUCAUAGAUUCUUCUAUGGUGUCCCUUUGGGAUUUUUCAUUUUGCUUAGAAGUCUCUUGUUUCUUUGAUGAGCUCUCUUCUGUUGUUUCUACAACCUCAACAGAGUCUUUUCUACACAAAAAGAAAUGCUGGAGGCACUGUUAACCAGAGCAACAAAAACUCGAGAGGAACAAGAUUCUCAAGGAAGAUCUACGAACUCCACAGAUGAUGUUGGACUUCUUGUUGGCGGAAGAUCUCAGCAUUCAAAAGCAAGACAAAUGACAGUAUAUCUACCUUGAUUAUAAUUUCUUGUUACUGGUUUUCUUGUUUUGAGUGUUACAGGUUUUCUUGUUUUGAGUGUUACUUGUUUUCUUUUAAUUUCUUGUUACUGGUUUUCUUGUUUUGGAUUCAAUCUGGACUACUGCGCUAUCCAUGCGCUUCUUUCUUUGUAAGCAUGGUUAACACUGUCAUUUUUGGGGUUCCUUCCUCUGCAAGCGACUUGAAAGGGUCAUCUAGUCUCGCAUGUAAUUAUACCUUAUUUUAAAUUGAAGAUAUUGGGAGUUGACAUGGUCA